rnacentral:rRNA from 1 species
GCGCCCCGCAAGGGGAGCGGCAGACGGGUGAGUAACGCGUGGGAACGUACCUUUUGCUACGGAAUAACUCAGGGAAACUUGUGCUAAUACCGUAUGUGCCCUUCGGGGGAAAGAUUUAUCGGCAAAGGAUCGGCCCGCGUUGGAUUAGCUAGUUGGUGAGGUAAAGGCUCACCAAGGCGACGAUCCAUAGCUGGUCUGAGAGGAUGAUCAGCCACACUGGGACUGAGACACGGCCCAGACUCCUACGGGAGGCAGCAGUGGGGAAUAUUGGACAAUGGGCGCAAGCCUGAUCCAGCCAUGCCGCGUGAGUGAUGAAGGCCCUAGGGUUGUAAAGCUCUUUCACCGGUGAAGAUAAUGACGGUAACCGGAGAAGAAGCCCCGGCUAACUUCGUGCCAGCAGCCGCGGUAAUACGAAGGGGGCUAGCGUUGUUCGGAUUUACUGGGCGUAAAGCGCACGUAGGCGGACUUUUAAGUCAGGGGUGAAAUCCCGGGGCUCAACCCCGGAACUGCCUUUGAUACUGGAAGUCUUGAGUAUGGUAGAGGUGAGUGGAAUUCCGAGUGUAGAGGUGAAAUUCGUAGAUAUUCGGAGGAACACCAGUGGCGAAGGCGGCUCACUGGACCAUUACUGACGCUGA